rnacentral:rRNA from 1 species
GAUGAACGCUGGCGGCGUGCUUAACACAUGCAAGUCGAACGGAAAGGCUCCUGCUUGCAGGGGUACUCGAGUGGCGAACGGGUGAGUAACACGUGGGUGAUCUGCCCUGCACUUCGGGAUAAGCCUUGGAAACUGGGUCUAAUACCGGAUAGGACGAUGGUUUGGAUGCCAUUGUGGAAAGUUUUUCGGUGUGGGAUGAGCUCGCGGCCUAUCAGCUUGUUGGUGGGGUAAUGGCCUACCAAGGCGUCGACGGGUAGCCGGCCUGGGAGGGUGUACGGCCAAAUUGGGACUGAGAUACGGCCCAGACGCCUACGGGAGGCAGCAGUGGGGAAUAUUGACCGAUGGGCGCAAGCCUGAUGCAGCGACGCCGCGGGGGGGAGGACGGCCUUCGGGUUGAAAGCUCCUUUCGCUAGGGACGAAGCGUUUUGUGACGGUACCUGGAGAAGAAGCACCGGCUAACUACGUG